UCUCUGCUUUCCUUCCAAUUUUUGCUCAACCAGAUUCGUGAGAUAAUCGUCGACACACUCCAGAACAUUGUCAGAAACGCAACCACUGACCAGGAAUUAAUAGACAGAGUAAACCAAGCCAAAUAUUCGCCUCUUUUCACUUCAUGCUACGAGGAAGCUAUCGACCAUUUGCACUACACAUGUGUCGAAUUUCAAAACCAUGAAUUCCUCUUAACCCAACUUGGUCUAUUCGUCAACCUAUGUAACGAAAA
rnacentral:lncRNA from 1 species